UGGGGAAUAUUGCACAAUGGGCGAAAGCCUGAUGCAGCAACGCCGCGUGAGUGAUGAAGGCCUUCGGGUUGUAAAGCUCUGUCUUUUGGGACGAUAAUGACGGUACCAAAGGAGGAAGCCACGGCUAACUACGUGCCAGCAGCCGCGGUAAUACGUAGGUGGCAAGCGUUGUCCGGAUUUACUGGGCGUAAAGGAUGCGUAGGCGGAUUUUUAAGUGAGAUGUGAAAACCCUAAGCUUAACUUGGGGACUGCAUUUCAUACUGGAAAUCUAGAGUGCGGGAGAGGAGAAUGGAAUUCCUAGUGUAGCGGUGAAAUGCGUAGAGAUUAGGAAGAACACCAGUGGCGAAGGCGAUUCUCUGGGCCGUAACUGACGCUGAGGCAUGAAAGCGUGGGUAGCAAACAGGAUUAGAUACCCUGGUAGUCCACGCCGUAAACGAUGAGUACUAGGUGUAGGAGGUAUCGACCCCUUCUGUGCCGCAGUUAACACAAUAAGUACUCCGCCUGGGAAGUACGAUCGCAAGAUUAAAACUCAAAGGAAUUGACGGGGUCAUAGCUG
rnacentral:rRNA from 1 species